rnacentral:rRNA from 1 species
GGAUUAGUGGCGAACGGGUGAGUAACACGUGAGUAACCUGCCCUCCACUUUGGGAUAACUCCGAGAAAUCGGGGCUAAUACCGGAUAGGACGAUGGUUUGGAUGCCAUUGUGGAAAGUUUUUCGGUGUGGGAUGAGCUCGCGGCCUAUCAGCUUGUUGGUGGGGUAAUGGCCUACCAAGGCGACGACGGGUAGCCGGCCUGAGAGGGUGUACGGCCACAUUGGGACUGAGACACGGCCCAG